rnacentral:rRNA from 1 species
UACGAAGGGGGCUAGCGUUGUUCGGAAUUACUGGGCGUAAAGCGCGCGCAGGCGGCUAUCCAAGUCAGUGGUGAAAGCCCAGAGCUCAACUCCGGAACUGCCAUUGAAACUGUUUAGCUUGAGGAUGAGAGAGGUGAGUGGAAUUCCCAGUGUAGAGGUGAAAUUCGUAGAUAUUGGGAAGAACACCGGUGGCGAAGGCGGCUCACUGGCUCAUUACUGACGCUCAGGCGCGAUAGCGUGGGGAUCAAACAGG